GCUAGUUUGUGCCAAGUCUGGUUAUUAUUCUUCUUGCGAAUUAUGCAAUCGGUUUUCUACCAAAUUUUAAUCUACCAUUGUUUGAACAACACUUGAAAGUUUUUCAUGCACUGCGAUCGAGUAGCUCGUGCAGAUUUGGUUGUUUUAUGCAGGAAUCGAUUGUGUAGACUGGAGACCCCGGUGUAAGCUCCUGUCUGAAGGUUGUGCACGUGGGCGUCCAGUUUGCUAACGGCCACGGAUGACCACUAUAUGUAGGUAACGCUUAACAAUUCUUUGGAAAACGGUGGAAUGAUUACAUCCAAACCUCUUUGCAAUUGCAGAUAGGCCACAUCCGGCAACAACCAUUACAAUUGCCUGUAAAUGUGAUCUAUACUAAGGCGUU
rnacentral:sRNA from 1 species